rnacentral:tRNA from 1 species
GCCCGUCUAGCUCAGUCGGUAGAGCGCUGGCCUUUUAAGCCAGUUGGUCGUGGGUUCGAAGCCCCACGGGGGCG